AACAAGACAGAGCCCCCAUUGAGUAGUACCAAGUUCUAGAGACUGUAACAGUUUAUUGGUCCAGUCUCCUAUCUAAGUCAAAACCUCAUGGGUUGUUAGCAACAUUUUCAGUGAAAAAUUCCAACCAUUAAGAAUACAACUCAAAUUUGUAGUAUUUGGGAAAAAAUGAAUCCUGUUUGAUUAACUAUCCCAUGGCAAACAUUUUCACAAUAAAACAUUUCAAAGCACAAAAUGAUCCCAUAGUCACAGAAAAAACAACAACAACCACAUGUGAGUAAUUCUUGAAGAAUUCAAAAGACUGUAAAUCAAAACCACAACCAACAGCAAAAAACCCUUUACAACCUCACUAAACAAAUCUACAUUCAACAUCGGUUCUGCUUUAUAAAAAUAAAACACAUUUAAGAACCCACUUUUUCAUUUAAUACAGUUAUUCUUUUAACAAUGACCCUAUUUUAUAAUGGAGAAAAACAACAAAUUAGGCAAAAAUUAACUUCUCCUUUCCCAACAAGUAGAUCUGAAGAUGAGACUUUUCUCUCUCGUUUAGGAUGAUUGAGAUGUUCAUCUAAGGAGAUGGUCAAGCACCCCCCAAAAUAUCUAAGACUGAGAAAUAAAAGAUGAGAUUUAGAAAUGCAGUGUAAUCUUGCUCUCAAGGAACAACCUCCAGCUAUGUGAGAUCAUUCUAGGAAUUUAGGGUUUGAAUUGUUUAUGUUCCUGGCUCGUUCACAAAGGAAAAACAAACAAGGCACAAUGAGCAGUACAACACCUGUCCAGCCCCAGGUUGAGCUCUCCAAUGUCCUGGUCUAGGGGUCAGUCCAGCCGUUACCACCUGUCCCCAUGACCCAGACCACCGGGCAUUAGAAGAUGAGUUGCCAAGAAAACGAAGGGAUGAAGAUCAGAGGCCUCCAACUGACUGUCAAUUCCUCCCAAAGUCUCUGUAUUUUCAAACAUCAUAUAAGUAGAUGGCUUUGGAGCAUCUUCAAGAAAAUGUCAAUGAGAAGCUAAGCAGGCUUCUGUCCUGAUGGACCCUUAUAAAACGAUGCAGAAGCAGAGCAGAGCGCAAGAGACAGCUCUCCUGUAAAACGGCAGGCUCCAGGAAACUCAUGACAUAGCAAUCACCCAUUUAAGGACCUGGGGUGGUUGGCAAGGGCCACACAGAAUGCAUUGUCCCUGCAUGUCUGUGGGAAAGUCCCCAUACAGAGAAAUGGCCUCUGGGCUCUGGGUUCCAGUGCCAUUUCCUGGUACACUUCCCAGGACUGAUUUUUCAAGGGUCAAACCCUGACUAUUUGGAAACCCUUUUACAUGUUG
rnacentral:lncRNA from 1 species